ACCUGAGAGAUCAGGCUUCCCCUUCGGGGGCAAAAUGACAGGUGGUGCAUGGUUGUCGUCAGCUCGUGUCGUGAGAUGUUGGGUUAAGUCCCGCAACGAGCGCAACCCUUAUUGUCAGUUGCCAGCAUUUAGUUGGGCACUCUGGCGAGACUGCCGGUGACAAACCGGAGGAAGGUGGGAAUGACGUCAAAUCAUCAUGCCCCUUAUGACCUGGGCUACACACGUGCUACAAUGGACGGUACAACGAGUCGCGAAACCGCGAGGUCAAGCUAAUCUCUUAAAGCCGUUCUCAGUUCGGAUUGUAGGCUGCAACUCGCCUACAUGAAGUUGGAAUCGCUAGUAAUCGUGGAUCAGCAUGCCACGGUGAAUACGUUCCCGGGUCUUGUACACACCGA
rnacentral:rRNA from 1 species